CCCCAGUAACGGCGAGUGAAGCGGCAACAGCUCAAAUUUGAAAUCUGGCGCCCCCCGCGGCGCCCGAGUUGUAAUUUGCAGAGGAUGCUUCUGGCGCGGCGCCUUCCGAGUUCCCUGGAACGGGACGCCAUAGAGGGUGAGAGCCCCGUCUGGUCGGACGCCCAGCCUCUGUGAAGCUCCUUCGACGAGUCGAGUAGUUUGGGAAUGCUGCUCUAAAUGGGAGGUAUAUGUCUUCUAAAGCUAAAUACCGGCCAGAGACCGAUAGCGCACAAGUAGAGUGAUCGAAAGAUGAAAAGCACUUUGAAAAGAGGGUUAAACAGUACGUGAAAUUGUUGAAAGGGAAGCGCUCGUGACCAGACUCGGGCGCGACGAAUCACCCGGCGUUCUCGCCGGUGCACUUCGCCGCGCUCCGGGCCAGCAUCAGUUCGCGGCGGGGGAUAAAGGCGCCGGGAACGUGGCUCCCCCGGGAGUGUUAUAGCCCGGCGCGCCAUGCCCCGCGGCGGACUGAGGUUCGCGCACCCGCAAGGAUGCUGGCGUAAUGGUCACCAGUGACCCGUCUUGAAACACGGACCAAGGAGUCGUCCUCGUAUGCGAGUGUUCGGGUGUCAAACCCCUACGCGCAAUGAAAGUGAACGCAGGUGAGAGCCCUCACGGGCGCAUCAUCGACCGAUCCUGAUGUUCUCGGAUGGAUUUGAGUAAGAGCAUACGGGGCCGGACCCGAAAGAAGGUGAACUAUGCCUGUGUAGGGUGAAGCCAGAGGAAACUCUGGUGGAGGCUCGCAGCGGUUCUGACGUGCAAAUCGAUCGUCAAACAUGGGCAUGGGGGCGAAAGACUAAUCGA
rnacentral:rRNA from 1 species